rnacentral:rRNA from 1 species
GACUGUUUACUAAAAACACAGGUCCGUGCGAAGCCGUAAGGCGAUGUAUACGGACUGACGCCUGCCCGGUGCUGGAACGUUAAGGGGACCGGUUAGCUCUGUUUCGACAGGGCGAAGCUGAGAACUUAAGCGCCAGUAAACGGCGGUGGUAACUAUAACCAUCCUAAGGUAGCGAAAUUCCUUGUCGGGUAAGUUCCGACCUGCACGA